AGUUUGUCCUUGGUCAUAUUGCUGUUUUUUGUUAUCUGCAAAUUUGCCAAGGACGAAAU
rnacentral:pre_miRNA from 1 species